rnacentral:rRNA from 1 species
AGAUUGAACGCUGGCGGCAGGCCUAACACAUGCAAGUCGAGCGGUAGAGAGGUGCUUGCACCUCUUGAGAGCGGCGGACGGGUGAGUAAUGCCUAGGAAUCUGCCUAGUGGUGGGGGAUAACGGUUCGGAAACGGACGCUAAUACCGCAUACGUCCUACGGGAGAAAGCGGGGGACCUUCGGGCCUCGCGCCAUUAGAUGAGCCUAGGUCGGAUUAGCUAGUUGGUGAGGUAAUGGCUCACCAAGGCGACGAUCCGUAACUGGUCUGAGAGGAUGAUCAGUCACACUGGAACUG